rnacentral:rRNA from 1 species
GUGAGGAAUAUUGCGCAAUGGAGGCAACUCUGACGCAGCCAUGCCGCGUGCAGGAAGAAGGCGCUACGCGUUGUAAACUGCUUUUAACCGGGAAGAAACCCCAGGACGUGUCCUGGGUUGACGGUACCGGAGGAAUAAGCACCGGCUAACUUCGUGCCAGCAGCCGCGGUAAUACGAGGGGGGCAAGCGUUAUCCGGAUUCAUUGGGUUUAAAGGGUGCGUAGGCGGAGCGUUAAGUCAGUGGUGAAAUCCUGCAGCUUAACUGUCGACUUGCCAUUGAUACUGGCGCUCUUGAGUGCGCUUGAAGUGGGCGGAAUGUGCCGUGUAGCGGUGAAAUGCUUAGAUAUGGCACAGAACACCAAUUGCGACGGCAGCUCACUAAGGCGAUACUGACGCUGAGGCACGAAAGCGUGGGGAUCGAACAGGAUUAGAAACCCUAGUAGUCC